CAGGGGGCAGUGCUGAGCUCUUUGCCAGUGGGAAAUGGGAUGCUGGUGAUUUCCAGGAAGUGACCUCACAAUGACUCAAGCUACCACUUACUGUUGAUUGUGACGAAAUGCCAGCUGAGGCACAUGCCUUGGGAGCUAAGUGGUUGCUGCCCUUGACCACUAUGAAGACUGGUGUGGGAAGGGUCGCUUUGGAUGCACUUGAGCAGGGGUCCCCAACCCCUGAGCCAUGGAGCCAUAAGGAGCCACACAGCAGGAGGUGGGACCAUCCAGUUGCAGGAAAACAAGCUUAACACGCCCACUGAUUCUACAUUAUGCUCCCACCUCCCGGCAGCCUCUCCAGGCCCAGAACUCUCUCCAGUCAGCCUCUACAGACCAAGCUCAUGACUCACAAUGGCCUAUUUAGGCCCAUACCCUACCUCACGGCAGUCUCCGCAGAUGAGCCUACUGCCUCACAACAGCCUCCACAGGCACAGCUCCAUCGUUACAAUGGCGUCUUUAGACCCAGCUCCUGCCUCCCAGCCUUCUCUCCAGGCCCUGAACUUUCUCCGUAAGUUCAGGUAGCUGGGACUGUAGGGUCUCCCUCUGUUGUCCAAGGCUGGAGGGUAGUAGUGCUAUCACAGCUGACUGCAGCCUCAACCUUCCAGGCUGAAGCGAUCCUCCCAUCUCAACCUCCCACGUGGCUGAGACUACAGGUGCUUGCCACUAUGCCCAACUAAUAUUUGGAAUUUUCGUAUACGUGGAUUCCAGAGGGGUGACAGCGAAACGUGGGACCAUCCAGUUGCAGGAAAAGAAGCUUAACACGCCCACUGAUUCUACAUUAUGCUCCUACCUCCCGGCAGCCUCUCCAGGCCCAGAACUCUCUCCAGUCAGCCUCUACAGACCAAGCUCAUGACUCACAAUGGCCUGUUUAGGCCCAUACCCUACCUCACGGCAGUCUCCGCAGAUGAGCCUACUGCCUCACAACAGCCUCCACAGGCACAGCUCCUCCUGCCUCCCAGUGGCCUCUUUCGGCCCAGCCCAGCUCAUGCCUCCCGGCGGCCUUCCCAGGCCCCGCUUUUGACUUUCGGUGGCCUCUGCAGGCCUCGACAAGGCCCGGCCUCCUGCCUCCCGAAGACCUGCACAGGCCCAGCCUCUGCCUCACAGCGGACUCUCCACGCCCAGCUAGCUCUCGCCUCACUGCGGCCUCCCGAGUCCAAAGCUCCUGCCUCUCGGCCGCUUCGGCAGGCCCAGCUCCCGCCUGCCAGUGGCCUCUUCAGGCCCGUGGGGCUCAUUCCUCACAACAGCCUUUCCAGGCCCAGUUUUUCCCUUGCGGCGGCCUCUCCGGGCCGAGAACAUCCUCAAGUCGGCCUCUCCAGACCCACUUGCACCCUCCGGGCGUCCUCUCCGGGCCCAGCUCCUCUUCCUGGCUGCGUCUCCAGGCCCGACUCCUGCCUCUCAACGACCUCUUUGGACUCAUUGCCUACCCAUCUCCUGGAGGCCUUGGUCGGCCAACAGCUUCCUCAAGCCAAGCUCCCCAGGCCCAGGUCAGGCCUCACGGUGGCCUCUCCAGGAUGAACUCCUGCCCUCCGAUGGCAUCUGCAGGCCCCAAAUGGUCUCCGGUCGGUGGGCUCCUCCACGCCAAGCUUGGGCCUCCCGGCGACCUCUGCAGGCCCAAGUUGUCCUGAAGUCGGCAUCUCCCGGCCCUGCCUCCCAGCAAGUAAGCAAGCUCUUUUGGCUCAACUCCUGCCCAGCUCCCAACCGCCUUUGUAGGCCCCGAACUUUCUCCAGCCAAGUUCUUCGGGCCUCAUUCCAGCCGCCUGGUGGCCUGUACGGGCCCGGCACUGGUUGGAGAACAGCCUCUGCAGGCCCCGCUCUUGCCUCCCAGGGGCCUCUCCAGGCCCACCUCUUGCCCCCACGGCGGCCUCCCGGGGCCAAGUCCCUGCCUUCCUCCCAGCAGCCCGCGUGCGGCCCAGCUCCUCCCUCACGGUGGCCUGUUGAUGCCCAACUCAUGCCUCUGGCACCCUGCCCAGAGGCAUGAGCCCCUGCCUGACACUGGCUCCUCCCACGCUGAGAGAGGUCAGGGUGAGCCCUUGCCUCACUCCGGCCCCUCCCAGGCUGACAGAGGUCAGCCUGAGCCCCUUGCCCCACACCGGCCCCUCCCAGGCUGACAGAGGUCAGCGUGAGCCCUUGCCUCACACCGGCCCCUCCCAGGCUGACAGAGGUCAGCCUGAGCCCCUUGCCCCACUCCGGCCCCUCCCAGGCUGACAGAGGUCAGCCUGAGCCCCUUGCCCCACUCCGGCCCCUCCCAGGCUGACAGAGGUCAGCCUGAGCCCCUUGCCCCACUCCGGCCCCUCCCAGGCUGACAGAGGUCAGCCUGAGCCCCUAGCCUCACACCGGCCCCUCCCAUGCUGACAGAGGUCAGCGGGAGCCCCUUGCCUCACACUGGCCCCUCCCACGCUGAGAGAGGUCAGGGUGAGCCCUUGCCUCACACCGGCCCCUCCCACGCUGAGAGAGGUCAGCCUGAGCCCCUUGCCCCACACCGGCCCCUCCCACGCUGACAGAGGUCAGCCUGAGCCCCUUGCCCCACUCCGGCCCCUCCCAGGCUGACAGAGGUCAGCCUGAGCCCCUUGCCUCAUACCGGCCCCUCCCAGGCUGACAGAGGUCAGCCUGAGCCCCUAGCCUCACACCGGCCCCUCCCAUGCUGACAGAGGUCAGCGGGAGCCCCUUGCCUCACACCGGCCCCUCCCAGGCUGACAGAGGUCAGCGGGAGCCCCUAGCCUCACACCGGCCCCUCCCAGGCUGACAGAGGUCAGCGGGAGCCCCUUGCCUCACACCGGCCCCUCCUAGGCUGACAGAGGUCAGCGGGAGCCCCUUGCCUCACACCGGCCCCUCCCACGCUGAGAGAGGUCAGUGUGAGCCCUUGCCUCACACCGGCCCCUCCCACGCUGAGAGAGGUCAGUGUGAGUCCCUUGCCUCACACCGGUCCCUCCCACGCUGAGAGACGUCAGUGUGAGCCCUUGCCUCACACCGGCCCCUCCCACGCUGAGAGACGUCAGUGUGAGCCCUUGCCUCACACCGGCCCCUCCCACGCUGACAGAGGUCAACCUGAGCCCCUUGCCUCACACUGGACCCUCCCAUGCUGAGAGAGGUCAGCGGGAGCCCCUUGCCUCACACCGGCCCCUCCCACGCUGAGAGAGGUCAGUGUGAGCCCUUGCCUCACACCGGCCCCUCCCACGCUGAGAGAGGUCAGCGUGAGCCCCUUGCCUCACACCGGCCCCUCCCACGCUGAGAGAGGUCAGUGUGAGCCCUUGCCUCACACCGGCCCCUCCCACGCUGAGAGAGGUCAGCGUGAGCCCCUUGCCUCACACCGGCCCCUCCCACGCUGAGAGAGGUCAGUGUGAGCCCUUGCCU